rnacentral:rRNA from 2 species
AAAUUGAAGAGUUUGAUCAUGGCUCAGAUUGAACGCUGGCGGCAGGCCUAACACAUGCAAGUCGAACGGUAACAGGAAGCAGCUUGCUGCUUUGCUGACGAGUGGCGGACGGGUGAGUAAUGUCUGGGAAACUGCCUGAUGGAGGGGGAUAACUACUGGAAACGGUGGCUAAUACCGCAUAACGUCGCAAGACCAAAGAGGGGGACCUUCGGGCCUCUUGCCAUCAGAUGUGCCCAGAUGGGAUUAGCUAGUUGGUGAGGUAACGGCUCACCAAGGCG